GACGAACGCUGGCGGCGUGCCUAAUACAUGCAAGUAGGACGCAGUUGCGAACGGGUGAGUAACGCGUAGGUAACUACCUAUUAGAGGGGGAUAACUCUUGGAAACGAUAGCUAAUACCGCAUACUAGUAGAUGGACCUGCGUUGUAUUGGCUAGGAGGUAGGGUAAUGGCCUACCUAGGCAACGAUACAUAGCCGACCGUAGAGGGGGAGCGGCCAAACGGGGGCUGAGACACGGCCCAGACUCCUACGGGAGGCAGCAGUAGGGAAUCUUCGGCAAUGGGGGGAACCCUGACCGAGCAACGCCGCGUGAGUGAAGAAGGUUUUCGGAUCGUAAAGCUCUGUUGUUAAGGAAGCGGUACCUAAUCAGAAAGCCACGGCUAACUACGUGCCAGCAGCCGCGGUAAUUC
rnacentral:rRNA from 1 species